AGCGUAGGCGGACAUUUAAGUCAGGGGUGAAAUCCCGGGGCUCAACCUCGGAAUUGCCUUUGAUACUGGGUGUCUUGAGUAUGAGAGAGGUGUGUGGAACUCCGAGUAUAGAGGUGAAAUUCGUAGAUAUUCGGAAGAACACCAGUGGCGAAGGCGACACACUGGCUCAUUACUGACGCUGAGGCUCGAAAGCGUGGGGAGCAAACA
rnacentral:rRNA from 1 species